GUAGCUUCCUUGUCGUGUGGCCUCAGUCCUUCGCCGUCCCUCGCCGUCCUUCGCCAUCGCACGCCACCGCACCCCAUCUCUCGAAAUCUGCAGACAUCUUGAUUUUUCCCACGCUGUCUGUCAGGUCUCCGCCGCCACUCGACGCCAGGGCGCCGGGUGAGUCCACAGCAGGGCGCAUGGUCGGCUCCACUCUCACCAUCGGGGGAAACUGAGGCCCCGGGGAAGGCGGCCAGAGAGGUCAGGCCCUGUCCUUGGUGCAGUGUCUCGUCCUCUUUGCCGGAGUGAGCCCCCCAGGAUUCGCGUGUCCUCGGGAAAGACACUGGCAGGCCUUGUGGGCUGUGCUGCACCUCGGACGGCUUCGCACCAGCCAGCGCCCUCUCUCUCCUGCAGCACUCUGAUCUGCACCCCCUGAGGGGCUUCCACUGUCCGCGGGGUGAGAAUGCCCCUGGGAGUGUCACAUGACUGCCGCCCCAUGUGUGUGAGAGGCGUCCUCUGGGAGAGCAUGGAUCCUGAGGUCCCAGGAUUGUCAGCUGACCUCUGUCCUGUGUGCCCAGUGGCCCCAGGUGACGUGUCUUCAAGAAGAGGCUGAGCUGCGGUGCUUGUAAGAGUCAUGUGCUGUUCCUGGGGCUUGGAUGAUGUAGGGGAAGCAAGGUGAAAGUGGUAUCCCGUGGUUCCACGUUCUGUCCUGCUGUGGGGCUGUCCCUCACAUGCUUUCAGUGGCUGUUGCAGAGGAAGAGCCUCCGGAAAUCUGCGUCUCAGCCUUAGAUCCAAGGACAGUCCAAGGAAGUCCUAAGACCAUGGAGUUGGUGAUCUGGGAUCUGGGUUUGCUGAUAUUUCUCACCGUGAAUCUCUUGGUGGUGUUUGUGGGCACGAGAGGGGCAGAGAAUGGAGAGUGAGGCUACCACAUGAAGCGUCACCAGAGCUGCUCCCUGCUGCCUGCUCAGAGCACCCCGGAUCCACUGUUCAAUCUGCACAAGAUUCGGGGUCCAGACAUGGGAGACUUCAGCUGCCUCAGAGGACCGUGGACAGGGAAGGCCAGCCUCGCAUCCCUCUGUCCAUGCCUGGAAUGACUUUAAUAACCAAGAGUUUUAUUUUUGAAUUUGUAGCUGUCGUUCACUUUUUACCCACCCAUUCAAUAAACCUUACAGAAUUGC
rnacentral:lncRNA from 1 species